GUGCUUGGGCGAGAGUAGUACUAGGAUGACCCUGGGAAGUCCUCGUGUUGUACC
rnacentral:rRNA from 1 species